rnacentral:rRNA from 1 species
UACGUAGGGUGCAAGCGUUAAUCGGAAUUACUGGGCGUAAAGCGUGCGCAGGCGGUCGUGCAAGACAGAUGUGAAAUCCCCGGGCUUAACCUGGGAACUGCAUUUGUGACUGCACGGCUGGAGUGCGGCAGAGGGGGAUGGAAUUCCGCGUGUAGCGGUGAAAUGCGUAGAGAUGUGGAGGAACACCGAUGGCGAAGGCAGCCUUCUGGGCCAACACUGACGCUCAUGCACGAAAGCGUGGGGAGCAAACAGG